GUGUUGCCGAAAUUGUGAUAAUACUGCUAAAUACUGUCCUUUUGCGGUCUGUCAUUUCCAAGUGUUAGCUGUAUGCAGAGUUCUGCCGAAUCAGGGACCAGAACUUGCCGAACUUCUUCUAUGCUGCGCUCGACUGUCACACCCCUCGUUUGAUGAACUUUUACCAACAGACUGCGUCCAAGACUGGAAGGAUCGCUUACGCUUUGAGUGACAUUCUGAGGUGUCAUGAUCUAGGAUAUGGGAACUACAUGAUGUUCUCCACUGUUCUCUGUGCUCGUCCUGUGUUGCUGCGUGAGGAAGUCUUAAGAGUUUUCAAAACAUGCAAGGGGGAGGAUUCCCGAGGAGCCAGAUAUUGUUGACACACCGGUAUCCCUACUUACAAUUGCCAGUGACAACACCAAAAAUGUCGUCUAAGUCCAUUAGUGUCAAGAACUCAGUUGUCCUGGAGAGUGAAGUUGUGGUGACCGACCUCCCCAGACUGGCUGACACUUAACUGGUAAUGUUCGGUCUGAUCUGUGCUCUACAUCUCAGUUAAAUUGUUACCCAGAAAGGAUUAGAUAUUGAUAUGAAAAUGGCUGCAUUGGGCCUUAAGUUGCUGCAACUUAACAAG